UACGAAGGGGGCUAGCGUUGUUCGGAAUUACUGGGCGUAAAGCGCACGUAGGCGGAUUAGCAAGUCAGGGGUGAAAUCCCGGGGCUCAACCUCGGAACUGCCUUUGAUACUGCUAGUCUAGAGUCCGGAAGAGGUGGGUGGAAUUCCUAGUGUAGAGGUGAAAUUCGCAGAUAUUAGGAAGAACACCAGUGGCGAAGGCGGCCCACUGGUCCGGAACUGACGCUGAGGUGCGAAAGCGUGGGGAG
rnacentral:rRNA from 1 species